CCACAAGUCUGGAACAAACUUCCAGAAAACUGCAAAACAGCUGAAACGCUGAGUCCCUUUGAAUCAAGGCUAAAACCUGCUUGUUUUGAGCUGCUUUUGA